ACCUGAGUGCUGGAAUUGGUAGACAGGCACGGUUGAGGGCCGUGUGUCGCAAGACGUGUGGGUUCGACUCCCAUCUCAGGUACCA
rnacentral:tRNA from 1 species